UCGUUAUAAAAGGGUGACCAUUUUGACCGAUUCCCUCACCUGGGUUGUGAACACGCACAAGAAGAGUGCGAAGUAGUGUUUUCACUGCGAAUAACCAAUUUAAAUGUGGCACGUGACACUAUUUUUCCCUUAUCAAUUAAUUAUUUCUUCCUUUUCAUCAUCUUCCCCCAAAACAAAGAUAUAAAAAGAUUUGUUGGUGCCUCUCUUGAUGGACAAUUUCAUUAUAAACUCUGGUACUCUCUUUUACGAAUUCAUCAUCUUCCCCAAGCGCAAUAAGUGAGUGAAAUUUGGACGCAAACAUGGAGACUUACUUUCAAUGCGAAAUUCAUGGUCGGAGCACAAUACAGGUCGAUGAUUUUGGUCUUGUCCACGUUAUCCUGAGAAUUCAUGCAACUUAUUUAGAUGAAGGGAUCGUGAAGAUGUUGAUAUAAGAUUAAAAUACGUUAUUCAAGAUUGACGAACAUAAUUAAGGAGUUGGAAGAAGCAUUAGCAUGUUAUGAAAGUCGUGUUGAAAGUAAUACAUGGAUGAUGCAAGAGAAGAAGAAGAUGAGCUCAUGUUGUAACUUAAAGCUAAUUGUCUUGGUUUUAGUAGUGUUUUUUUCCUAAUUUUUAGGUCUAACCAAGGAUGUGAAGGAUGGAGCAUGUAGGUGUGUGCAACCAAAAUUGUCAUAGACAUCUUUAGUUACUUUCAAGUUUUGAUGUUUUUUUUUGUUGUCGAAUGCUCAAGUUUUUGUUAUUUUUUAUUGUCGAAAUAAUUAUGAUUUGAACAAAUUGUUAUUG